UUAAGCGACUAAGCGUACACGGUGGAUGCCCUGGCAGUCAGAGGCGAUGAAGGGCGUGCUAAUCUGCGAUAAGCGCCGGUAAGGUGAUAUGAACCGUUAUAACCGGCGAUACCCGAAUGGGGAAACCCAGUGUGACUCGUCACACUAUCAUUAACUGAAUCCAUAGGUUAAUGAGGCGAACCGGGGGAACUGAAACAUCUAAGUACCCCGAGGAAAAGAAAUCAACCGAGAUUCCCCCAGUAGCGGCGAGCGAACGGGGAGGAGCCCAGAGCCUGAAUCAGCAUGUGUGUUAGUGGAAGCGUCUGGAAAGGCGCGCGAUACAGGGUGACAGCCCCGUACACAAAAGCGCAUGUGCUGUGAGCUCGAUGAGUAGGGCGGGACACGUGGUAUCCUGUCUGAAUAUGGGGGGACCAUCCUCCAAGGCUAAAUACUCCUGACUGACCGAUAGUGAACCAGUACCGUGAGGGAAAGGCGAAAAGAACCCCGGCGAGGGGAGUGAAAAAGAACCUGAAACCGUGUACGUACAAGCAGUGGGAGCACCCUUUGGGGUGUGACUGCGUACCUUUUGUAUAAUGGGUCAGCGACUUAUAUUCUGUAGCAAGGUUAACCGAAUAGGGGAGCCGGAGGGAAACCGAGUCUUAAUUGGGCGUUAAGUUGCAGGGUAUAGACCCGAAACCCGGUGAUCUAGCCAUGGGCAGGUUGAAGGUUGGGUAACACUAACUGGAGGACCGAACCGACUAAUGUUGAAAAAUUAGCGGAUGACCUGUGGCUGGGGGUGAAAGGCCAAUCAAACCGGGAGAUAGCUGGUUCUCCCCGAAAGCUAUUUAGGUAGCGCCUCGUGAAUUCAUCUCCGGGGGUAGAGCACUGUUUCGGCUAGGGGGCCAUCCCGGCUUACCAACCCGAUGCAAACUGCGAAUACCGGAGAAUGUUAUCACGGGAGACACACGGCGGGUGCUAACGUCCGUCGUGAAGAGGGAAACAACCCAGACCGCCAGCUAAGGUCCCAAAGUCAUGGUUAAGUGGGAAACGAUGUGGGAAGGCCCAGACAGCCAGGAUGUUGGCUUAGAAGCAGCCAUCAUUUAAAGAAAGCGUAAUAGCUCACUGGUCGAGUCGGCCUGCGCGGAAGAUGUAACGGGGCUAAACCAUGCACCGAAGCUGCGGCAGCGACGUUUAUGCGUUGUUGGGUAGGGGAGCGUUCUGUAAGCCUGCGAAGGUGGCCUGUGAGGGUUGCUGGAGGUAUCAGAAGUGCGAAUGCUGACAUAAGUAACGAUAAAGCGGGUGAAAAGCCCGCUCGCCGGAAGACCAAGGGUUCCUGUCCAACGUUAAUCGGGGCAGGGUGAGUCGACCCCUAAGGCGAGGCCGAAAGGCGUAGUCGAUGGGAAACGGGUUAAUAUUCCCGUACUUGGUGUUACUGCGAAGGGGGGACGGAGAAGGCUAUGUUGGCCGGGCGACGGUUGUCCCGGUUUAAGCGUGUAGGCUGGUUUUCCAGGCAAAUCCGGAAAAUCAAGGCUGAGGCGUGACGACGAGGCACUACGGUGCUGAAGCAACAAAUGCCCUGCUUCCAGGAAAAGCCUCUAAGCAUCAGGUAACAUCAAAUCGUACCCCAAACCGACACAGGUGGUCAGGUAGAGAAUACCAAGGCGCUUGAGAGAACUCGGGUGAAGGAACUAGGCAAAAUGGUGCCGUAACUUCGGGAGAAGGCACGCUGACAUGUAGGUGAAGUGAUUUACUCAUGGAGCUGAAGUCAGUCGAAGAUACCAGCUGGCUGCAACUGUUUAUUAAAAACACAGCACUGUGCAAACACGAAAGUGGACGUAUACGGUGUGACGCCUGCCCGGUGCCGGAAGGUUAAUUGAUGGGGUCAGCGCAAGCGAAGCUCCUGAUCGAAGCCCCGGUAAACGGCGGCCGUAACUAUAACGGUCCUAAGGUAGCGAAAUUCCUUGUCGGGUAAGUUCCGACCUGCACGAAUGGCGUAAUGAUGGCCAGGCUGUCUCCACCCGAGACUCAGUGAAAUUGAACUCGCUGUGAAGAUGCAGUGUACCCGCGGCAAGACGGAAAGACCCCGUGAACCUUUACUAUAGCUUGACACUGAACAUUGAGCCUUGAUGUGUAGGAUAGGUGGGAGGCUUUGAAGCGUGGACGCCAGUCUGCGUGGAGCCGACCUUGAAAUACCACCCUUUAAUGUUUGAUGUUCUAACGUGGACCCGUUACCCGGGUUGCGGACAGUGUCUGGUGGGUAGUUUGACUGGGGCGGUCUCCUCCUAAAGAGUAACGGAGGAGCACGAAGGUUGGCUAAUCCUGGUCGGACAUCAGGAGGUUAGUGCAAUGGCAUAAGCCAGCUUGACUGCGAGCGUGACGGCGCGAGCAGGUGCGAAAGCAGGUCAUAGUGAUCCGGUGGUUCUGAAUGGAAGGGCCAUCGCUCAACGGAUAAAAGGUACUCCGGGGAUAACAGGCUGAUACCGCCCAAGAGUUCAUAUCGACGGCGGUGUUUGGCACCUCGAUGUCGGCUCAUCACAUCCUGGGGCUGAAGUAGGUCCCAAGGGUAUGGCUGUUCGCCAUUUAAAGUGGUACGCGAGCUGGGUUUAGAACGUCGUGAGACAGUUCGGUCCCUAUCUGCCGUGGGCGCUGGAGAACUGAGGGGGGCUGCUCCUAGUACGAGAGGACCGGAGUGGACGCAUCACUGGUGUUCGGGUUGUCAUGCCAAUGGCACUGCCCGGUAGCUAAAUGCGGAAGAGAUAAGUGCUGAAAGCAUCUAAGCACGAAACUUGCCCCGAGAUGAGUUCUCCCUGAGACUUAGAGUCUCCUGAAGGAACGUUGAAGACGACGACGUUGAUAGGCCGGGUGUGUAAGCGCAGCGAUGCGUUGAGCUAACCGGUACUAAUGAACCGUGAGGCUUAACCUU
rnacentral:rRNA from 1 species